CUGAAUAAAUAAUUCCUCACCGAGCAAUUUAAUUACCAUUCGAUACUUGCUAUGAGAAGAAAGGCGCUGAGGAUGCAAUGAGGCUCUAUCUGCGUGGCAUCUGAGCUUCCAUCCCACCUCCUGCCUCCCUGGGACUCCUUCUCCCUUUGCUCCACGGCAGGAGCCCGGCAGCGGUCCCAUCACAGAGCUUCGGAUCCUGUAUUAUCACUUAGUGGCUGUGUGACCUUGGACAAGUUACUGAACUUAUCUGAGCCUUAGGUCCCAAGCAGUAGAAUGAGAUCAUAGAAGUGCCUACUCAUAGAGGUAUUAUUAGAAUCCAGCGAGAUGAUCGAGGUGAAGCCCUUCGCCUUAGGAAUGGGCACAGAGGGUGCUCAGUGAAGGCUAGUUGUUAUGAUUCGCUCCAGAAAGUGCCAUCUCUGCUCUUUUCUCCCUCACGUCCGGAGGGAGUGGGUUGUUUGCUCAAGAUGCAACGAGGAGCAUGAUUUGGAGAAUGACUCGUCAGGGUCAGAAGCCUGGGAACCCCUCAAGAGCUGUGUGUCUUUGGGCAAGUCAGGCAGCCUCUCUGGACCCCAUUUCCUUCUUCUACAAAGGGAAGAUCUCAAAUCCCCUCAAGGGUUGACGCGCAUAAAACCCUUAGCUCAGUAAACAACAGCUGCUAUUGUCAUUACCUUAUUAUUAUUUUUAGACUCUAUGUAAAACUUUAUAAAGCCCAACUGUACCUUCUAAUCCCACAGUGCUAGGGAUGUUUAUGCACCAGUUUCACCGCGGGAUUCUGGAGGUCUUUCUCCCUCGCGUGAAUGGUCUCUGUCUCCUCCCACAUUUCUCCCGAAAGCUUUUAUUUGGCUGCUCCUACAGGGGACACCCUUGAUCUGUGCUCUCCCACCGAUUCUCUCCUCCAGAGUCCCAGCCGGUUCACCUCCACAAAUGCGUCUCCCAUCAUUUCCCGAGUGCUCCCCUCUCACUGCGACGGUGCAUCUGCCUGCCUUUCUUGCUUCAUUACGGCCGGCUUCAGCUCAUCGUUCACAGAGCAGCCAAAAGGGCUUUAUUCAAAUGCCCAUCUGACCAUGCCCCCUUCCUAUUUAAGGAUCCCACUGUACUUGCAACAAAAUAAAAACUCCUCAGCAGGUGUCUGGCCCCUUUUCCUCCCGCACCAUCUCCAGCCACCUCUGCUCAUUCAAUUUCAGCCACACUCCCCUUCCCUCUCUUCACGAAGGAGCCCAAGCGUGUCCCGCCUUUGGGGCUUUGCCUUCCCUUCCCUCUAGGCCUCCACUGCUUGUCCCCAAGACAGGAGUUUGCCAGUUACUGUUCAGCAAAAACAUCCUGUCCUCAAAGACACCCUCCCUCCCCCGGUUACGACAGCCAUCCAGGUCCCUCUGUCCCGUUCCUGGAUUUGCUGAGCAGUAUCUUAACCCGUCUUUUGUCUGUUUUCUCUGACUUGGUUUGCUCUUUCUCCUUUGAGGACAGGGGGCAGGAGCUCUCAACGUCAGCACGACUGGGUAAC
rnacentral:lncRNA from 9 species